AUUGAACGCUGGCGGCAGGCCUAACACAUGCAAGUCGAGCGGAGCGGCGGACGGGUGAGUCAUGCCUAUGACUCUGCCUGUUCGUGGUGGAUAACGUCCGGAAACGGGCGCUAAUACCGCAUACUAUCAGAUUAGCCUAGGUCGGAUUAGCUAGUUGGUGGGGUAAAGGCCUACCAAGGCGACGAUCCGUAACUGGUCUGAGAGGAUGAUCAGUCACACUGGAACUGAGACACGGGCCAGACUCCUACGGGAGGCAGCAGUGGGGAAUAUUGCACAAGGGGCGCAAGCCUGAUGCAGCCAUGCCGCGUGUAUGAAGAAGGCCUUAGGGUUGUAAAGUACUUUCAGCGGGGAGGCGUUACCCGCAGAAGAAGCACCGGCUAACUCCGUGCCAGCAGCCGCGGUAAUAC
rnacentral:rRNA from 1 species